GAUGAACGCUGGCGGCGUGCCUAAUACAUGCAAGUCGAGCGAACAGACGAGGAGCUUGCUCCUCUGACGUUAGCGGCGGACGGGUGAGUAACACGUGGAUAACCUACCUAUAAGACUGGGAUAACUUCGGGAAACCGGAGCUAAUACCGGAUAAUAUAUUGAACCGCAUGGUUCAAUAGUGAAAGACGGUUUUGCUGUCACUUAUAGAUGGAUCCGCGCGGCAUUAGCUGGUUGGUAAGUUAACGGCUUACCAAGGCAACGGUGGGUAGCCGACCUGAGAGGGUGAUCGGGCCCACUGGAACUGAGACACGGUCCAGACUCCGAGAGGAGGCAGCAGUAGGGAAUCUUCCGCAAUGGGGGAAAGCUUGACGGAGCAACGCAGGGUGAGUGAUGAAGGUCUUCGGAUCGUAAAACUCUGUUAUUGGGGAAGAACAAAUGUGUAAGUAACGAUGCACGUCUUGACGGUACCUAAUCAGAAAGCCACGGCUAACUACGUG
rnacentral:rRNA from 1 species